AUUGAACGCUGGCGGCAUGCCUUACACAUGCAAGUCGAACGGUAACGGGCCUUCGGGUGCCGACGAGUGGCGAACGGGUGAGUAAUACAUCGGAACGUGCCCGAUCGUGGGGGAUAACGAGGCGAAAGCUUUGCUAAUACCGCAUACGAUCUACGGAUGAAAGCAGGGGACCGCAAGGCCUUGCGCGGACGGAGCGGCCGAUGGCAGAUUAGGUAGGUGGUGGGAUAAAAGCUUACCAAGCCGACGAUCUGUAGCUGGUCUGAGAGGAUGAUCAGCCACACUGGGACUGAGACACGGCCCAGACUCCUACGGGAGGCAGCAGUGGGGAAUUUUGGACAAUGGGCGCAAGCCUGAUCCAGCCAUGCCGCGUGCAGGAUGAAGGCCUUCGGGUUGUAAACUGCUUUUGUACGGAACGAAAAGCCUUCUUUUAAUACAGGAGGGUCAUGACGGUACCGUAAGAAUAAGCACCGGCUAACUACGUG
rnacentral:rRNA from 1 species